rnacentral:rRNA from 1 species
GUCUACACCCAUGCCAUGCUGAACAAGCUCGAUGUCUGAUCUCGAAAGCUUAAGCAGGGUCAGGCCUGGUUAGUACUUGGAUGGGAGACCACCGAGGAACACCAGGUGCUGUAGGCA